rnacentral:rRNA from 1 species
CGGGGUGAGUAACGCGUGGAUAACCUGCCUUGCACUGAGGGAUAACACUUAGAAAUAGGUGCUAAAACCGCAUAAGCGCACAGCUUCGCAUGAAGCGGUGUGAAAAACUCCGGUGGUGUAAGAUGGACCCGCGUCUGAUUAGCUUGUUGGCGGGGUAACGGCCCACCAAGGCGACGAUCAGUAGCCGGCCUGAGAGGGCGGACGGCCACAUUGGGACUGAGACACGGCCCAGACUCCUACGGGAGGCAGCAG